CGUGCCCAGAACACCUCACCACGGAGGUGUGCAGGAGGCAUUCUAAUCAGAUGCCUGAGCCACCUCAUUUGGUUCCACUCAAUGUGGAGGAGCAGCAGUUUGACUCUGAGCCCAUUCUGGAUGAUCUCUAACGGAGUGCUUGAACACCCUGCGAUAGAAAAUCAUUUGGGCCGCUUAGAUUGGGAUCAUGUUCUUUUACUCAGAACCCACACCUUGUGGCCAGAGGUGAGUGUAGGAAUAGAGACUGACCUGUAAAUUAAGAGCCUUUGGCUCAGGUCUUUUUUCACCGCGAUGGACCAACACCAAAGUUCGUAUCACUGCAGAUGCUGCACCGAUCCGCCUGUCACGUUCCAUUCUUGCCUCACACGCUACUUGAAAUCCUCCACUUGGGGAAGCAUCGCCUCUCCAACCUUCAUAGGGCACUCCACCCUUUUCCGAAUGAGGACCAUGGUCUCAGAUUUGGAGGUCAGCAGUACCACAUAAUCUGUAAAAAGCAGUGAUGAAAUACUAGGCCACCAAACGAGACCCCCGCAAUUCCUUGGCUGCACCUAGAAAUUUUGUCCAUAAAGUAUGACCAGAAUCAA